CGUGUAGGCGGUCAGGUAAGUGGAAUGUGAAAUGCCCCGGCUCACCCGGGGACCGGCAUCCCAAACUGCCUGGCUUGAGUAUGGGAGAGGAUGGAGGAAUUCCUGGUGUAGCGGUGAAAUGCGUAGAUAUCAGGAGGAGCACCGGUGGCGAAGGCGUCCAUCUGGCCCAAUACUGACGCUGAGGCGCGAAAGCUAGGGGAGCAAACG
rnacentral:rRNA from 1 species